rnacentral:lncRNA from 10 species
GGGGUACAUAAGAUGUUUUGAUACAGGCAUGCAAUAAGUAAUCAUCACAUCAAGGAAAUUGGGGUAUCCAUCACCUCAAACCUUUAUCUUGGGUUAGGAUCAUUCCAAUUCCACUCUUUAAGGUAUUUGAAAAUAUAGGAUAAAUUAUCGAUAACUACAGUAAUCCUAUUGUGCUACCAAAUUCUAGAUUUUAUUCAUUGUGUCUGUGUUUUUGUACCCAUUAACCAUCCUGACUUUAUCUCCUGCUCCCUGCUACCCUUCCCAACCUCUGCUAACAAUCUCUGUUUGGUUUUCCUUAGACCCUUAUUUUACCUUCUCUCCCUGAUGACAUGCUUAACUGGUAAGUGUCAAAGUGGAUGCCAGGCCUGCUGGAUCUCUUUUGGAACUGGCCUCUCCUCAGGGUGUAAGUUUCCUUUGCUUCUCCAUGGAGCAUUGCACCUGGGAAGGCCCAUAGGCUUCAGGCUGGACCGGUGACCAGAGGAGAAAAUGCUUGAUCCCCAGGGCAAAGAAUUAGCAAGUCCAUGUGGUUGUACCUCUAGGCUCUGUCAUUCAAUCCCACUUUUAUCAAUAAUCAAGCUAAUAUUUAUCUCCAUUUGACACUUAUGUCUUUUUUUUCUUUUCAUUUUGAAUUUGGGAGGAGAAGAAUGAACAGUGUUAAUUUCUUGGCUUUAACCAAUAGAUACCAAUUCCACUUACCUCUAAUCCCUCUUUCUCCAGUAUAAAAGAAAACCAGAUUACUCAAUAAUACUGUAAAAGCACAGCAAGGAAGGCUUUAUUCAGGAACAUUGCAAUAGAAAUAGGGACCACAACAGUGGAAUUUUGCAGUGGUGGAGAGAAAGUGGGCUCAACUCCAAAUACAGCAUGGGCAAGUGGGAUUUACAGCCAAGGAGUAGAGUCAGUGGGUAGAAAGUUACUAAGAGGAGGUCGGGCGCGGUGGCUCACGCCUGUAAUUCCAGCACUUUGGGAGGCCGAGGUGGGCGGAUCAUGAGGUCAGGAGAUCGAGACCAUCCUGGCUAACACGGUGAAACCCCGUCUCUACUAAAAAUACAAAAAAAUUGGCCGGGCGUGGUGGCAGGCGCCUGUGGUCCCAGCUACUCAGGAGGCUGAGGCAGGAGAAUGGCGUGGACCUGGGAGGUGGAGCUUGCAGUGAGCUGAGAUCGGGCCACUGCACUCCAGAGCAAGACUCCGUCUCAGAAAAAAAAAAAAGAAAGAAAGUUACUAAUAGGAACAUCAGGGGGAAGGGGGAUUCUGGACAAACUAAACUAAGAGCAUUUUUGCUCAACACAGACCAAGGUGACCUGAUAUCACCUAGGUGUUAGUGGAGGAUGAGGAAUCUGAUCAGAUAUUGAGGGUGAUCAGAUAUUGAGGAUGAGGGCUUCUUGUUAAACUGACUUAGCAGAGUUCUUUGCCAUGACUGAAUCUUACAUGGAAGUACACAGAUGGCCCUCGAAGAAGGUUCAGGAGCCUGACUAAAGUUUGGCCAAGCCAAAAAUCUUUGUCACCAGCUACUGCCACUAUCGUCACCCCUAAACAGCCACGUAGCCAUUGGGAGGCUCUAUAAAUAUUGCCUCUGGCUAGGGAAAAAUCAGCGAGAACAAAAACUUGCUCCAAUGAUUUUUGAGCUCUGAAGCAGAGCUUUAUAAAUCUAUAACCAAAAUUUAAAAAGGUAUGGCUAUUCUGCAAGAGAUAAAAAAGCUUCACUAUUUCAGAAACUUGGCUUUAAGUGGAGGAAUCAGAUAUGAAGUUUAUACCAUCUACCAGAGCAUAGGAAGAAUUUGGGAUGAAAUAAGAAUCUUUGAUAAAGUAAGAAGGAUAUAAACUUUCUGGUAUAAGAUAAAUAACUUCUGGAACUCUAACUAACAGCAUGACAACAAUAGCCCAGAAUUUCAAGUAUUACAGACUUCAAAUUUACAGAGUUAUCUUAAGUGUUUUUAACACACACACACAGAGACACACACACACACAGACACACACAUACACACACAGUAACUAUGUAAGGCUAUGGAUGUGUAAAUUACCUUGAUUGUGGUAGCCAUUUUACAAUGUAUACGUAUUUCAUCACGUGCCACACCAUAAAUAUAUACAAUUUCUAUUUGUCAAUUAUACCUCAAUAAUAUUGGGAGGAAAAGAUUCUUUCCCUUGCCCAGAACAAGGGAAGAUACCAACUCUAGGCAAAAAAGGAAGAAUGAGAGGUUACUUGAGGUUGGAGGUGAUGUUAGGAGAAUGGAAAUUCUUAUAGAAUCUUCAGAGAACCUGAAGGAGGGUCUGGAGUGGAUGGAGUCAUUUUCUGGCUUCCUAGGGUAUGGCCUUGGAAAGUACAAGCCUCAAAGAGAAGGUGAAAGCCCCCAAACCAAACCAAACCAAAACAAAACUUGUGGAUGUUCAGUUCUGUCACCGAACUAACCUGGGGUCCGCUCACCCGGCACAAUAAAGCAGAACUUUCACACCAAGGUUCUCUGCAGCGGGAGGAAGACUCUGAUUCCUGACUGGUUAAGGAAGUGAAGCUUUGUCUAAAAACUUGGGGUUAGCAGGAAGGAAUGUUAAGGUCUGGCCUGGGGAUGUGACUUGCUCCAGGCCUCUGAGGAAGGAAUUUAGAACAAAGAAUGGUCAUCAGAAUUCAGUCCUCAGCUCUUUAUCUCAGGUGGAUGUGCCAGGGGAACCUUUGGUCGGGGUCAGGGCUUCUGGAAAACAAUUCACGGAUAUAUGUUAAGAUGUUAUCUUUAGUUUCUAUAGGGAAUCAAACAUACCAUCACUCAAGGCUCUCACUUACUUGGCUAUUGUUGUAGACCACUGUUACUUUCUUGCUUAUCAAGUUGUUCAUUUACUUCUUAGGGCUAGUUAGGUACCUGGAAUUUCUUUGGAAGGAACUCAAGAUUUUCCUUUAUGCUUAGGGGGCCCCGUAGGCCCCUAAGAGGGGUCCCUGCUCCAUCUUGGAAACUCUAAGCCUCAAACAGAAGCUCUGAAUUCAAAAACCAAACAAAAACAAAACUUGUGGCUGUCCAGUGACGCUGGCUGUGUCUGGAGGUGCAAUUUCUUCCUGCCAAGAUGUUGACUGACACAGCAAUGAGUUCGCUUUUGCUUAUAUUGAGCCUCAGGAGAUUUUGAGAUGUCCAUGAGGGUAGAUCCAGCAGGUAAAUGAAAAUAAUGGACUGGAACUCGGAGGACAGGUCUAGGCUAAAGAUGUAAAUGUGUUAGUCAUCUACUAACAGGUGAUAAUAGAAGCCAGAGGCAUGGCUGAUGGUGCUUUGGAAUAGAGGAUACAGUGAGUAAAGAAGACCUAGAACCAGUCUUGAAGAAAUCCAACAAAUAUUGGUUGAAUAAAGGAGCAUGAUCCUGCAAUGGAGCCAGAGAAGAACCAGGGAACCAGAGGGAUAUCCAGGAAGUGAAAACAGCAUUUCAAGAAGAAAGAAGAAAGAAGUGAUUAACAUUAUCAAAUACCAAUGAGAAAUUAAGUAAAAUUGAGGAUUAAAAAAAGUUUAUUGCUUAUAGUGACAAAUAGUUUUUUGAUGACCUUAGGAAGGGCUGUUUUAGGAAGUGGUGGGGACAGAAGCCAUUGAGAAUGGCUUGAAAAAUUAGGAGCUGGAGAUAGAAAGUAGGCAACAUUAUGAGAAGUUGGAAUAGAAAGAAGAGGAGAACAAAAGGGUGAUGGCUGGAGAGAAGAUAAGUGAGUGAAUGAUGAUUUUUUUUUAAAUGGGGGAGUUGAGUUGAUAAUAAAUAGAGCACACCAAUUUGAGAGAUGAUUUCAAUAAAAAUCAUCUUUAUAAUUU